AAACUAUAAAUUAUUUUUGAGUUUGACUAUCCAAUUUUUAAAAAUUCUGAUUUUAUUAUUCAAUCUUUCAAUUUAUUUGAUUUAAAUAAGUCACCGACACUUUGGACUUUAAAUUUUAAGGUAACUAUUUUAUAAAGCAUAUUAACUAAACGGCACAUUCAAAUUUUAAAGACAAAAUAUUAUUGACCGAUUAAAAUCAAACAAAAAUUAAAAUUUUGAAAGCCUAAAUAGGUGAUUUCAAAUAAUUCAUAAUUCAAAUACAUUAUAUAUAUAUAUAUAUAUAUAUAUAUAUAUAUAGNGUGUAGUGUUGAAGAGUUUUAUAGAGACUUUGAUUUGUGGCUUUGAUAAAACAUGUAAUUUGGUAUUUUAUUUUCAGCCGACUUGGCAGCGUAUUUUCAUUUCGGCCCCUGUGGUUUUAAUAAUUGCACUUUGCUUUCUUGUGGUUUAGCUCUUUUUUUUAUUUAGUCAAAAAGUUACAACUAAUUAUUCUGUGAUUUAGCGUUGCCACUUUAUUAUUUUUUACAAAAUUUUUUAUGCUGCCAUUUUAUUUGAUAUAAAUUUUUUUGGAGAGAUAAAAAUUAAACUAAGAGAAACAAAUUAAUUAUAACUUUUUAAACGACGGAAGGGCAUUAUAAAAAUAAGCUAAAGUAGAAGGGAGCAAUUUGAAGUUUACCUUUUUUUUUUUUCAAUUCUUCAGCGUAGUUUUAUUUUGGUCCUCAAACUUUUAGCUUCAACGUUGUCGGCCCUUAAUCUCUUAAAAUGCUAUACUUUAGUCUCUACAUAUAUUUAUUAUUAGAGAAUAUAUAUUUAUGUACCAUGUAUUUGUCAACUAUUUUUCUGUCACAUAUACUACUUGAGUUAUAGUGUUUUCAUAAUAUAAAAAGUUUAUAUUUGUGAAUUGGAUAUAUAAAUGGAUGAAAAAAAAAAUGAUAAUAUAUAAAUUGAAUAUAUAAGGACUACAAUUAAUGAAACACUUUUGAUUUUAGGGAUAAAAUUGAAACUAAACUAAAAGUAUAGGGCCUCUAAUGUCGAAAUGUAAGAGAAUGCUAAGUCUACAACCCAAAGGAGCCGAUGUAAUCUUUAUAACUUCUAAUUAAUCCAAUAGUUUAAGAAUUUAAACAAUCUUUUUAACUUUUAGUUAAAAUAAUAAUAAGAUUAAUGUGUUAAUUAUAGUCCUUAGAUGGGCUAAGUUGUAAGGUUACAAUUCAAAUAGGAUUGUACACUUAGCUUCAAAGUGAAGCAAUUAAAAUGUGAAAAUGAAACUUAGCUUCAAAGUUUGGGGACCAGCAGUGCAGUUUACUUUUCUUAGGUUUAGUUGUAUAUAACUCCCUGUAAAUAUAUCGAAAAGCAAAUAUAUCCCAAUAAAGUUUAAUUUUUUAUUUUUAUCUCUAUAAAAAUUCAGUGAUAUUCUUAUUUGCUCCUCUUUUUUGUUACCGUUAGAGUACUGUUUAUUUUUUAAUAGCAGUUAAGUAAAAUGACAUUUUUUUUCCUUACAAAUAUAUCCCUUCAAAAGCCCCGAUAGUUAGAACUAUACAGAAAUAUCCUUCCAAAAAAAUAUUUCUUCGAAUAAUAUAAAAGGGCUAAACAGGUCAAUUUAACUCAUUCACUAACCAGGAUUAAAUAUUUUACUCAUGAUUAACUAUAUUUUUCUAACAGAUUCUAAUAGUAGGGAUAUAUUUGAAAACGGUAGGACCUAUACAAGGAUAAAAAUAAAAAGUUAAACUUUGUAGAAAUAUAUCUGUUAUUCGAUAUAUUUACCAGAAACUGUAUGCAAUUAAUUUUUUUUUAUAUAUAUAUAUUUUGUAAGAUAUUGAAUUCAAACAAAGGAUGAAAGGGGAGCAGUUCUUGAAAGAUUCCAAGUCAAAAACGUGCUCCUAAUGCUGUACAAAGCAAUUAUCCAUCUUUUAGGUAAAAGUGUUCACAACUUAUCUAAACUAUAAAUUAUUUUUGAGUUUGACUAUCCAAUUUUUAAAAAUUCUGAUUUUACUAUUCAAUCUUUCAAUUUAUUUGAUUUAAAUAAGUCACCGAUACUUUGGACUUUAAAUUUUAAGGUAACUAUUUUAUAAAGCAUAUUAACUAAAUCUGUAAAAAUAAACGACGCAUUCAAAUUUUAAAGACAAAAUAUUAUUGACCGACUCAAAUCAAACAAAAAUUAAAAUUUUGAAAGGCUAAAUAGGCGAUUUCAAAUAAUUCAUAAUUCAGAUACAUUAUAUAUACAUAUGUUGUACUCAUAAGUUGUUUUUGAUGAUAAAGCUUCCGUUAAACAUUAUCUACAACAUUUAAAACUUCUAAAAAUCAAAUUUUAUAAUUUUUCGAUGCCAUUUACCUUACGAUCAAAAACUCACAAAAUUAAUAAUUUUUAACGGCCGGUAUGGGAUAUUUGCUAGUUUAACGGUGAAAGAGAAUCGGAUUAAAUUGAAUUUUUGAUAGAAAAUUUUAUUCACUACCUAAAUAAAGAUCAAUAACUCCGAUCUUAAAUUGAAGGAUCCGAUCAUCCAUUUUUAGGAUGUUGUUCGAUUUUAACUGUUCAUUUUAUACCCGCUUGAUAGACUUUAUAAUGAUUUCAAAAAAUUACGAAAUUUAUUUUCUAGAAGUUUCAAUGGAACGUCGAUUCGAAAAGCCCAACAUC
rnacentral:lncRNA from 1 species